AUUUUGGACAAUGGGGGCAACCCUGAGCCAGCCAUCCCGCGUGUGCGAUGAAGGCCUUCGGGCUGUAAAGCCCUUUUGACAGGGAAGAAAAGCCGCGGGUUAAUACCCUGCGGUGCUGACGGUACCUGCCGAAUAAGCACCGGCUACCUCCGUCCCAGAAGCCGCGGUAAUACGUAGGGUGCAAGCGUUAAUCGGAAUUACUGGGCGUAAAGCGUGCGCAGGCGGUUCGGCAAGAAGGAUGUGAAAUCCCGGGGCUAACCUCGGAACUGCAUUCUUAACUGCCGGGCUAGAGUAUGUCAGAGGGGGGUAGAAUUCCGCGUGUAGCAGUGAAAUGCGUAGAGAUGCGGAGGAAUACCGAUGGCGAAGGCAGCCCCCUGGGAUAAUACUGACGCUCAUGCACGAAAGCGUGGGGAGCAAAC
rnacentral:rRNA from 1 species